UACGUAGGGUGCGAGCGUUGUCCGGAAUUAUUGGGCGUAAAGGGCUCGUAGGCGGUUUGUCGCGUCGGGAGUGAAGACACCGGGCUUAACUCGGUGCUUGCUUUCGAUACGGGCAGACUAGAGGUAUGCAGGGGAGAACGGAAUUCCUGGUGUAGCGGUGAAAUGCGCAGAUAUCAGGAGGAACACCGGUGGCGAAGGCGGUUCUCUGGGCAUUACCUGACGCUGAGGAGCGAAAGUGUGGGGAGCGAACAGG
rnacentral:rRNA from 1 species